rnacentral:rRNA from 1 species
UACGAGGGGUGCAAGCGUUGCUCGGAAUUAUUGGGCGUAAAGGGUAGGUAGGUGGUCUCGUUUGUCUGAGGUGAAAGCCUUGAGCUUAACUCAAGAAGUGCCUUAGAAACGGCGAGACUGGAGUACUGGAGAGGGUCGUGGAAUUCCCGGUGUAGCGGUGAAAUGCGUAGAGAUCGGGAGGAACACCAGAGGCGAAGGCGGCGACCUGGACAGUUACUGACACUCAACUACGAAAGCGUGGGGAGCAAACAGG